rnacentral:rRNA from 1 species
UACGUAGGGGGCAAGCGUUGUUCGGAAUUACUGGGCGUAAAGGGCGCGUAGGCGGCACGGCAAGUCAGGAGUGAAAGGCCUGGGCUCAACCGAGGAACUGCUUUUGAGACUGCCGAGCUAGAGUGCAGAAGGGGCAACUGGAAUUCCCAGUGUAGCGGUGAAAUGCGUAGAUAUUGGGAAGAACACCUGAGGCGAAGGCGGGUUGCUGGGCUGACACUGACGCUGAGGCGCGAAAGCCAGGGGAGCAAACGGGG